ACAUGGUUCAGGAUGGGGGAGCCUUUGAUACUUCCAAGGCGUGAGGGAUAUCUUGGAUACUACUUGGAGGGCAUUACAUCCAGGCGCCCCGGUUAGAUCCACCUGGCAGAACCAUGCCGCAAUCUGAAGUAAUGCCUAUUUUUGUAUGUAGUUUUUAAUAGCUCGGUCUGUGUUACCUUCCGCUUUUCCUCCUCAGGCUCAUAUUUUGGCAAGAAGCAGUUGUCAUCACGUUUUUAGGUCUGAGGGGUCUCCAUUAGAUUUUGGUGCCUGUCUCCAUUUUGUGAGCAUCUAGUCAUAUUCAGCAUCUGUCUGCACUCAGGUCUGCUGUAACUGUUGUGCGGUUUUGGCUUAAGACUUCAUAGCGCAGUGUUAUCUAAUAGUAGCAUUCCGUAUGUAAGUGUCUUCCGGCAGCCCAGUGUCAUGUCCUGUUUACGUUGGCACUCUCAUUUGAGCAUACUGUCUACUGAGGGGUUCUCCGUGCUGCAGUUCGUGAAGUCAUUUAAGAGUUAUUUAUCCAUAAAGGGAAAGUCUGUCAUUACACCAGCCACAGUCAUUUGCUACCCAUACCUCUUUUGGUGUUUGCUGGCCUGAGUUUUUGAGCUCUGUCAGUCUCUACCUAUACUGGAGUCAUCUGGCAGUAACUGUAAUUUUUGUGUGUUGGUAGUUGAACUUACUCUUGCAGUUUAAGUAAUAAGUCUAGGCUAAGCAGGACAGUCGAGCGAGGCACGACAGCAAAAGCAAGUAGAUGGUGUUGCGGGCCACAAUGGUGGAGGUGAGGUUGAUUGCUUGGGUUGUGUGCUUUUGGGGUCUCUUUGUGUUGCCUGAGUACGUAAGUCAGUCAAAGGGAUUUGUUACUCUGUUUUGCAUGGCAGGCUCUCUUUUUCGGAAAGCAGUAUAUAACAUCUGUGUGCUUCUCUGCAUUUUCCUGAGGGAGGCCCGGCAUCGAAGGUUAUGGUUCCUGAGACAUCGGAGAUGGAUGGACUGUACGAAUGGGUGCCUGACACAGCCACUGACCCCACAGGCACAGCAUGGGAAGCGAGCAGAGCCAUGUUAGCCUUCUGCGGGAAAGGGUGUGUUAGCCUGCUGGGGGAAAGCCUGGACGUGGCUGGUGGGGCAGGGGAAAGAAGAGGGAUGGGUGCAUACUUUUUGUGGGCAUUACUGUUUUUCUUUUUCUUGAACUAGCUCAUGUAGCUGACUCAGCAUGGUGGAUGGGAGUGCAAAGCACCGAUUGAGAAGAUGCACAGCAGGGAGCUGGAUGCUGAAGAGAGAAGGCAAGUGGAACACCAUAAGAACGUUGGUUGGCACGCAACAGUGGAAGGAACAGUUCCAUUGUUGGUGCCUAUAUGACCUGUUAACACUCUGUUUUGGAGGUGCAAAACAACUCAUGAAAUCAUGUGCAUAGCAGGGUGUCCAUCCCUGAGUGUGUUGGGCAAGGUGCAAUGCCAAACCGUAGUGGUGGUUAUUUUUGAACUGUCAAGUUGUUUGUAAGCAGGUGACUGCUUCUAGGCACAAAGGUCACUUUGUCUCUGGUUUUCUAGGUGCUACGGGUGACGCUGGCCACAACAUCCAGCGUUAGACUGGGAACAAGCGAGCAGAGCAUCACGAUGCUUUUGAGGAGGCUGUCAUUGCAGAUGAGAUCAGCAUUGACUGGCAUGAAACUGACGGAUGGCACUCUGUUUGCAGAUGAUGAAGAGGAACUGGGUGGGAUUACAGCAACAUCCUAGGUAGCCUAGGUGGUCUUUGUCAAGGAUGGAUUCUGAUCCCCAGCCCUCUGAAAGCUAAGUUGAGGGGCUGAUGCUAUCUUUGUGUAGGGUGGCAGGGAGGGGUCUUAAAUUCAGCAUAGCAGAGAGGGCAGUUCAGGAUAGGACACAUUUGGGCAGAGAGAGGGUCUGGGGUCCUUUAUGCAAAAAGUGAGCAUGUGCUGGGUAGGGAAUCUAGAUGGUAUUCCUAAAUGGAAACAAGACCUCUGAAUUUGUUAAGCUAUCGCACCGCAUCUGGGUGACUUAUUUGGUACUGAUUUUGCAGUUGCAGAGGGACAAGCUGUGCACCAAAGCGCAAUGGAGGAGGGGCGAGCAGAGCGCCGUAAGAAUGUGGGUUGGCGUGUGGUGUUGGAGGGAAGAUGUGACUGGUGUCUGUAUGACUAACUUAGAGAUACUGGGGUUUUUUGGUUGGUUUUUUUUUUUUUGAAGGUGUGAAGCAAUCGGGAUAUCGGCACUGGAGCUGAUUUGGUUAAGGUGAGCCAUGACUAGUGGGCUGAAGCAGCAGUUAUUUUUCAGGUGUUGUAUUGUUGGUGAAGUUAGAAGCAUCCCUUGUUGGUUCUGUCUUACAAGUGGUACCCAAGCCUCAGUGUGGUAACCUGUAAAUGGCAGAGGCAGGGCGGGUGAGCGGCCAAGGUUGUUAGCCUGGCCCUGUGUACAGGCUGCCGAGGUCAUCGACUCUGCAUGGGACACAGACGCCCUGGAGCGCUUUACACCAAGUCAUUCCUUUCCCCUUGGACAGCAGCAGUUCUGCUGUUGCAACAGGCAGCUGCUUUCUCAAGGGCAAGGAGCUGGGACAACAACAGGCUGCUGCACGUUCCAGUCAAAGAUGCUGUUCCCUGGUGACAGCUGAGGUACUUUCUACACUGCCCAUGGCUCUUCACAAGGGAACCAUGCUUUGGUUUUAGCAGAAAAAGCUGUCAGUCACAGGCAGCCACGUAUCACUGUGCACAGCUGUUUGGCAGGUGUCUUGCUUCUUCAAGGAGAGGUGUAUUUCUUGCCUUGUGGUCUUGAUGCCAAAACAAUCAGGGGUUCAAGUUACAAAAGCCUUUUGCUAUCAGAGCAAGAUGACAGCUAGAUUUCUAUCAGCACUGUAUUUCAGCUCUAUUACUAGCUGAAAAUGGCUUGCAGGCCAGGAGAUAUUUAGAGGAGUCUGAAUUAAACUGGGUGUUGAAGUGUUUGUUUUAAGGAGGCAAAUUAGGCAGCCAAAGGAACUGAGAUGCUCACCCAACAUGUUGGCAGAACAGCCUAUCCAGCCUACUAAGUAUUGCGUGCUGCUGGCAGCAAAGGGCAACUGGCACGCUUGCUGGCAAGGAGCGGCAAGGAGUGCAGAGCUAUGCUCAUGUACAGAGCAAAGAUGGAAACUUGUCCUGGUUUUGGCUGGAAUAAAGUUAAUUUUAUUCCUAGUAGCUGGUAUAGUGCUGUGU